CUACAGUUUACUGUCUAGGACGCUCAAGACUGCAGUCUGAUGUAAUGCAGGAAGAAACAAACUUCAUUCCUGGCUGUGCCAUCAUUUGUGCGUAAUUUGUGAGUCAGUACAGUAGCUUACAGGUUAUGCAAGCUUGUAAUCAUUUAGAGGUUUUCGGGGUACAAGAUGGGAAAUGGUAUAAACACAAGUUGGAGCAGCUUGCUUUUCAGCAUGAGAUAAAUAGAGGUCAUGAGAAGAAACUGGACAUUGAGGCAGCUGCAGUGGGAUGUACUACAAGCUGUCCAGCACUUUUUGUAGUAGUAAAUAACAUAUUCAUGAUCUCCAACAACAAUUCUGAACUUACAACCGGGAAUAAUCAUGACCCAGACUCCUCUUCAGCAAAAGCCUUCAUCAUUGCCUCCAGCAAAAAUGUAUGGUUUACAAAUAAUUCGUUAGGAUUGCCUUCACCUUGUAUCAU